AAAGAUUUAGUUAAAUAAUAACAUUAAUUUGUCAAAUUAAAGUUAGACUAUUCCAUAAAAAUCUAAUCUUUA
rnacentral:tRNA from 1 species